rnacentral:rRNA from 1 species
GCAGCCUGCAACUCGGCUGCAUGAAGCUGGAAUCGCUAGUAAUCGCGGAUCAGAAUGCCGCGGUGAAUACGGUUCCCGGGUCUUGUACACACCGCCCGUCACACCAUGGGAGUAGGUAAUGCCCGAAGUCGGUGACCUAACCGGAAGGAAGGAGCCGCCGAAGGCAGGACUUAUAACUGGGGUGAAGUCGUAACAAGGUAGC